UAGAGAGAGAGAGAGAGAGAGAGAGAGAGAGAGACA
rnacentral:sRNA from 1 species